rnacentral:rRNA from 1 species
UGUGCCGCCCGCGACCCGGACCCAGGCGGCCGCCGGAGACCCACAAAUUUCUGUUUCUAUCAGUCUUUCUGAAUCCGCCGCAAGGCAAAACAAAUGAAUCAAAACUUUCAACAACGGAUCUCUUGGUUCUGGCAUCGAUGAAGAACGCAGCGAAAUGCGAUAAGUAAUGUGAAUUGCAGAAUUNCAGUGAAUCAUCGAAUCUUUGAACGCACAUUGCGCCCGCCAGCAUUCUGGCGGGCAUGCCUGUUCGAGCGUCAUUUCAACCCUCGACACCCCUUCGGGGGAGUCGGCGUUGGGGACCGGCAGCAUACCGCCGGACCCGAAAUACAGUGGCGGCCCGUCCGCGGCGACCUCUGCGUAGUACUCCAACGCGCACCAAAAACCCGACGCGGCCACGCCGUAAACACCCAANUUUUGAACGUUGACCUCGGAUCAGGUAGGACUACCCGCUAAA